rnacentral:lncRNA from 1 species
UCUUAGUCACGUGAGGUUGUCGCCUAGAAACAAGGAAGAACUAGGAGCUGGGGCAGCUGCUUUUACAUUUAACCAAGUGAAACCGAUGUUGAGUAGAAUUUUGUUUAACUUGUUCAGAUAUCCUGUGAAGAGGACAAUGUGAAGCUUGCAUUUUUUAUGACCUGGCUGUAGAACUGGACACAUUAAAGACGAUUUACUUCCGGAAAGCAACAUUUCCCUUGUUGCAAGGCCCUGCUUCACUGGAACUGCUUUACAGAGACAAUAGCUACUAAAGUGACACCCGUACCAUUUUCUACCUAGGAAGCCC